CGUGGCCUGCUCGGUCGCCUCUUCGGUCGCUAGCAGAGGGAAGCGUCGCCUCUUCGACCCGAAAAAGCUCCGGAGCGCUGCGGGAAAGUAAUGAGGUAGAAAGCCGGACAGAUAACUACACCAGCCCCGCGUGGAAAACACCGACAGCCCCGCCGCGAACAUGGACCAGCAGUUCGAGGACAUAGACUCCGAGGGCCGGUGGCAGAAACUCUACUUAGAAAUCAGGAAUCAGUCCCACGAGUGCGCCUACAAGGUGGCGAAGCAUCCAGAGAAUCGCAACCGGAACAGAUACAGAGAUGUCAGUCCAUUCGAUCACAGUCGGGUGAAGCUGGAGAACACAGAGAAUGACUACAUCAACGCAAGCCUGGUGCUGAUGGAGGAGGCCCAGCGAAGUUACAUAUUGACCCAGGGCCCACUCAGAAACACUUGUGGCCAUUUUUGGCUCAUGAUCUGGGAGCAGAAGUCGAAGGCGAUCAUCAUGCUCAACAGGGUCAUAGAGAAAGGCUCAGAAAAGUGUGCUCAGUACUGGCCCACUUCUGAGGAGAGGGAGAUGGCCUUCAGAGACACACGCUUCGUGGUCACGCUGUUGUCAGAGGACACCAAGUCUUACUACACCACCAGAGUGUUGGAGCUGCAGAAUAUUAAUACGGGGGAGAAGAGAGAGAUCUUCCACUUUCAUUACACCACAUGGCCUGAUUUCGGUGUCCCAGAAUCCCCGGCGUCCUUCCUAAACUUCCUGUUCAAGGUGCGGGAGUCAAGAGCGCUGGGUGCCGACCACGGGCCGGCUGUGGUGCACUGCAGCGCCGGAAUCGGACGGUCAGGGACGUUUUCAUUAGUGGACACAUCUCUGGUGCUGAUGGACAAGAGGAAAGACUCGUCAUCAGUGGACAUCAAAAGCAUCCUGUUGGACAUGAGGAAGUACCGCAUGGGCCUGAUCCAGACCCCUGACCAGCUACGCUUCUCCUACAUGGCUGUGAUUGAGGGAGCCAAGUGCAUAAUGGGAGACUCCUCCGUACAGAACCGAUGGCGUGAGUUGUCCAGAGAAGACCAGGAGCCGUCGCCAGAGUCUCGUCUCUCCGCUCAGCCUCCAGCAAAAUGUCCGACGGAGCGAGUCAACGGCAGCCAACGAGGGGGUCAGCUGGAGGACGGAGGAGACUACAGGCAGGACGCCAAAGUACCUGCACAGUCCCCCUGCAAGGAACAGGAGCUGGACGGCAGCACAACACACAAGCGACGCAGAGAAGACAGCAUCUCUAAAUCAGAAACGGCAAAGACACCCACAAGCAAGCCCAGGACAAAUGAGUCGGAGAAGAAGAGAAAAAGUUUGGGCUGCAUUUGCUGCACAUGACAAGAGCAGGCCUGUCCAGUGGGGGGCAGCGUAUCUUUACCCCCUUCUGAGACAGCAACAACAACCACGAGGAGCACAUUUAGAGGAGGAAGUUUGCCCACAGCUUUUAAAAAGAACUCCCACUCUUGUACGUUGAGGGCGAAGACCAGUGACUGCUAACCACCUCCACCUGGGGCCACGCGACUACAGCUCUGGCAGCAAAGCCACCAUCGGCAGGGAACUCCAGCUCCCUCCUCUGAAGGAGCUCUGUCCUCCCCUUCCUCGGCUCCAAACCACUCUUCCUCAUCUCCACCUCAACAGCCAGCUCUCCUCUCUGUUUUUUCCAUCGCUUCCUUUCGUGUGUCAGCCCAACAGCAUUAUUCCACAUCCUCCUCACAGCUUUCCCAUAACUACUACUCCUCCUCCUCCUCUCUGAACUGUUUACAGCAGACACUUUAACAUUCUUUGAAGAGCGCUCAUUUAAAAAAGACACCAGCUAUGCCCCCCCCCCCCCCCGCAGCCCACAACUCGACCGCCAUCCAUGCGCCAGGAGUCAGGAAAUCGUUACUUUUGCUUUAAUAUUUUUAUUUACAGCUUUGUCUCUUGCUAUCUUAAGCUUAUUUGCAAUGACAACAUUAGGACAGACAAUAGCAGUAGCUAUGCAUUGCUAGUUCGUAAUGGUGUUCAUAUGAGUAUUUUUUAGUAAAACCUUUUUCAGAGACAAAAAUGAUAAAUGUUCUAUUUUUUAUAAGAGAUUACUUGAAGUUUUUCACAGUGAUGGGGGGGGGGGGGGGGGACAAACAACAAGCUCUGCCGCCUCCGCCCACAUGACAAUUCAGUGGCAUGUUAUGUUUUCACGAUGUACAUAGUGUUCUUUUUAAAAGAUGUGUAAAAAAAGACUUAUUUUGUUGCACACGAUGUCACAGAUUUGAAUACAGUAGAAAGAUGAUUUGAUGACUCGUUCUCCUUUUUAAAUGAAUUUGUCUUAAGCUUUUCUCUCUCUUAGAGUAAUCUAAAAAAAAUAAAACUGGUAUCAUCUAGUUUACGUAAAA